AACCAGCACCUCAAGUGGUCAGGAUGAUUAUUGGGCCUAAAGCAUCCGUAGCCGGCUCUGUAAGUCCUCGGUUAAAUCUGUACGCUUAACGUACAGGCUGCCGGGAAUACUGCAUAGCUAGGGAGUGGGAGAGGUAGACGGUACUCGGUAGGAAGGGGUAAAAUCCUUUGAUCUAUUGAUGACCACCUGUGGCGAAGGCGGUCUACCAGAACACGUCCGACGGUGAGGGAUGAAAGCUGGGGGAGCAAACCGG
rnacentral:rRNA from 1 species